rnacentral:misc_RNA from 1 species
GAUGAAGAACGCAGUGAAAUGCGAUAAGUAGUGUGAAUUGCAGAAUUCAGUGAAUCAUCGAAUCUUUGAACGCACAUUGCGCCCGCCAGCAUUCUGGCGGGCAUGCCUGUUCGAGCGUCAUUUCAACCCUCGACCUCCCUUUGGGGAAGUCGGCGUUGGGGACCGGCAGCACACCGCCGGCCCUGAAAUGGAGUGGCGGCCCGUCCGCGGCGACCUCUGCGUAGUAAACCAACUCGCACCGGAACCCCGACGUGGCCACGCCGUAAAACACCCAACUUCUGAACGUUGACCUCGAAUCAGGUAGGACUACCCGCUGAACUUAAGCAUAUCAAUAAGCGGAGGA